GACGAACGCUGGCGGCGUGCUUAACACAUGCAAGUCGAACGGAAAGGCCCUGCUUUUGUGGGGUGCUCGAGUGGCGAACGGGUGAGUAACACGUGAGUAACCUGCCCUUGACUUUGGGAUAACUUCAGGAAACUGGGGCUAAUACCGGAUAGGAGCUCCUGCUGCAUGGUGGGGGUUGGAAAGUUUCGGCGGUUGGGGAUGGACUCGCGGCUUAUCAGCUUGUUGGUGGGGUAGUGGCUUACCAAGGCUUUGACGGGUAGCCGGCCUGAGAGGGUGACCGGCCAAAUGGGGACGGAGAUACGGCCAAGACCCCUACGGGGGGGAGCGGUGGGGAAUAUUGCACAAGGGGCGGAAGCCUGAUGCAGAAACGCCGGGGGGGGGAUGGCGGCCUUCGGGUUGUAAACCGCUUUCGCCUGUGACGAAGCGUGAGGGGCGGUAAUGGGGAAAGAAGCACCGGCUAACUACGU
rnacentral:rRNA from 1 species